rnacentral:piRNA from 1 species
UAAAAUCAUCCAACAACCGAU